rnacentral:RNase_MRP_RNA from 2 species
CAAGCAAGCCAAGGACCAUAUGUUUUUUUGUGUUACACUUUCAGCAUCUAAGCUUAUUAUAUUCAACACAAGGAGAAAAGUCCCCCGGAAAAAAAAAAUAUCUUCUGUCCAAUGAUUAAAGAUUAGGGCAGUGGGGUAUUUAGUAAAGCAACUUUGUUUGUUUUUUUUUUUUUCAAAAUAAAAAGUAAUAUGGUCACCCUAUAAUAAUGGGCCAACUUAAUGGGGCUUACUCUGGCUUGUUU